UGAGUAACCUGCCCCAGACUCUGGGAUAAGCACUGGAAACGGUGUCUAAUACCGGAUACGAACUUCAGCCGCAUGGCUAGGAGUUGGAAAGAAUUUCGGUCUGGGAUGGACUCGCGGCCUAUCAGCUAGUUGGUGAGGUAACGGCCCACCAAGGCGACGACGGGUAGCCGGCCUGAGAGGGUGACCGGCCACACUGGGACUGAGACACGGCCCAGACUCCUACGGGAGGCAG
rnacentral:rRNA from 1 species